GACGAACGCUGGCGGCGUGCUUAACACAUGCAAGUCGAGCGGUAAGGCCCUUCGGGGGUACACGAGCGGCGAACGGGUGAGUAACACGUGGGUGACCUGCCCUCAGCUCUGGGAUAAGCCUGGGAAACCGGGUCUAAUACCGGAUAUGACUCCAUGACGCAUGUUGUGGGGUGGAAAGCCUUGUGCGGCUGGGGAUGGGCCCGCGGCCUAUCAGCUUGUUGGUGGGGUGAUGGCCUACCAAGGCGACGACGGGUAGCCGGCCUGAGAGGGCGACCGGCCACACUGGGACUGAGACACGGCCCAGACUCCUACGGGAGGCAGCAGUGGGGAAUCUUGCGCAAUGGGCGAAAGCCUGACGCAGCGACGCCGCGUGAGGGAUGACGGCCU
rnacentral:rRNA from 1 species